GAGCCUGUAGUUUAAUGGUAAAACACUCCGCUCAUAACGGAUGUGUUGUUGGUUCGAGCCCAACCGGGCCCA
rnacentral:tRNA from 1 species